rnacentral:rRNA from 1 species
UACAGAGGUCUCAAGCGUUGUUCGGAUUCAUUGGGCGUAAAGGGUGCGUAGGCGGCGCGGUAAGUCGGGUGUGAAAUCUCGGAGCUUAACUCCGAAACUGCAUUCGAUACUGCCGUGCUUGAGGACUGGAGAGGAGACUGGAAUUUACGGUGUAGCGGUGAAAUGCGUAGAUAUCGUAAGGAAGACCAGUGGCGAAGGCGGGUCUCUGGACAGUUCCUGACGCUGAGACACGGAAGGCCCAGGGGAGCAAACGGG